AGUCCUUAUAUGGCGGAUAGAGGCUCAGUGGCACCGUCAGGGGAGCUGGUAAACAGAGUGCCGGACUCCACGGACAGGACGGGGCUUGGGUUGCUCUUAAAGGCGACAUAACCAGAUUUUCUUGAAGUAAGGUCUAGGAUACUCACAGAAAUGUGAGGGACCUAUGAUAUCGGAUUGUGAAGCACAGCAAGUUCUCAACGGCUACACCGCCAAAGGGACACACUAUACCACAAAGGCACUCUGUCUCUACUCAUGCCUCUCAGCCAUAUGUUGCUUUUCAAAUACACAUACAGUUAAACUUUGACUUCUAUUUAUUAAGCUUCAAUAUGGUUGGUCCAAGAGAACAAAGAAAGACUACAUGGCUGGGAAUUUGCACAAAAGAAGACAGGAGAUACCGACGUAGAUUGAAAGGGUGACGCUGUGCCUCUGGAUCCAGAAGAAAACAUCAUUACUGUCUGUAGAGUCAGUGAUUGUGUUCCUACCAAGAGUGCAAUG
rnacentral:lncRNA from 1 species